UACGGAGGGUGCAAGCGUUACCCGGAAUCACUGGGCGUAAAGGGCGCGCAGGCGGCCAUUCAAGUCAGGCGUGGAAAGCCCCGGGCUUAACCUGGGAGGCUGCGCUUGGGACUGGGUGGCUAGAGGAUCGGGAGAGGAGAGUGGAAGUUCCCAGUGUAGAGGUGAAAUUCGAUAGAUAUUAGGAAGAACACCGGUGGACGAAG
rnacentral:rRNA from 1 species